rnacentral:rRNA from 1 species
UACGGGAGGCAGCAGUGGGGAAUAUUGCACAAUGGGCGCAAGCCUGAUGCAGCCAUGCCGCGUGUAUGAAGAAGGCCUUCGGGUUGUAAAGUACUUUCAGUCGUGAGGAAGGUGUUAAGGUUAAUAACCUUAGCAAUUGACGUUAGCGACAGAAGAAGCACCGGCUAACUCCGUGCCAGCAGCCGCGGUAAUACGGAGGGUGCGAGCGUUAAUCGGAAUUACUGGGCGUAAAGGGCACGCAGGCGGUUAAUUAAGUUGGAUGUGAAAUCCCCGGGCUUAACCUGGGAAUGGCAUUCAAGACUGGUUAGCUAGAGUCUUGUAGAGGGGGUAGAAUUCCAUGUGUAGCGGUGAAAUGCGUAGAGAUGUGGAGGAAUACCGGUGGCGAAGGCGGCCCCUGGGACAAAGACUGACGCUCAUGUGCGAAAGCGUGGGGAGCGAAACAGGAUUAGAUA